rnacentral:rRNA from 1 species
AUUGAACGCUGGCGGCAUGCCUUACACAUGCAAGUCGAACGGCAGCACGGGAGCAAUCCUGGUGGCGAGUGGCGAACGGGUGAGUAAUAUAUCGGAACGUGCCCAGUCGUGGGGAUAACGUAGCGAAAGCUACGCUAAUACCGCAUACGAUCUAUGGAUGAAAGCGGGGGAUCGCAAGACCUCGCGCGAUUGGAGCGGCCGAUAUCAGAUUAGGUAGUUGGUGAGGUAAAGGCUCACCAAGCCGACGAUCUGUAGCUGGUCUGAGAGGACGACCAGCCACACUGGGACUGAGACACGGCCCAGACUCCUACGGGAGGCAGCAGUGGGGAAUUUUGGACAAUGGCGCAAGCCUGAUCCAGCAAUGCCGCGUGCAGGAUGAAGGCCUCGGUUGUAAC